CGGAUAGCUCAGCUUGGUUAGAGCAUCAGACUGUUAAUCUGAUUGUCGAAGGUUCGAAUCCUUCUCCAA
rnacentral:tRNA from 1 species